rnacentral:rRNA from 1 species
GUCUACGGCCAUACCACCCUGAACGCGCCCGAUCUCGUCUGAUCUCGGAAGCUAAGCAGGGUCGGGCCUGGUUAGUACUUGGAUGGGAGAUAUAUCUGAGGCAAAAGAGG